CAACUGCCGAGGUUAACAAAAACUGGCUUCUCCGCCCGCGCGCCAGCGCCUCCCGUUCAGUUUCGCCCACGCGGCGGAACACCCAUCCAUCAGAGACAUGGAUGGCUCGCGCCGCGCGCUCCGUUAAAACUUCCCCCGCCUCGUCUCCCCAGUCUCCUCCACUCUCCAGCAGCACCGUGCGCGCGGCGGGAGGAUGGCGUGCGCGGCCCCGCCCAGCCCCGUCCCCGUGCCCUCUCUCCCCGCGCGACGCCGCACGACUGCCGCCUACAGUCCCCCGUCGUCGCGGCUCUCGAGGCGUUCGUGGCUCCCCUCUGGAAACGCGCCCCGCGCUCGUCUGGCCGCCGGGGCUUCUAAUGUCGAGCCGGCCGAGGAGAGCCUCCCCGCCGCGCCGCCAGGCCCUUCGGCGGCCCUGCCCCAACCAAACACCAGCACCUGGAAUUGGAAGGGUUACAACAUUCGCUAUCAGUAUGCUGGAACGUCUGGCCCUGCAUUGGUUCUAAUUCAUGGGUUCGGGGCAAACAGUGACCAUUGGCGGAAAAAUAUCCCUGUCCUUGCCACGGCAAAUAGAGUUUAUGCAAUUGAUCUAAUUGGCUAUGGCUAUUCCGAUAAGCCUAAUCCACGUGAGUUUAAAGAAAGCUUUUAUACUUUUGAGACUUGGGGAGAACAACUUAAUACGUUUUGUGCUGAAGUGGUCAGGAGUGAAGCUUUCUUCAUAUGCAAUUCAAUUGGAGGGCUUGUUGGUCUGCAGGCAGCUGUUAUGGAACCUCAAACGUGUAAGGGUAUUGUUUUAUUGGAUAUUUCACUAAGAAUGCUUCAUAUAAACAAGCAGCCAUGGUUCGGAAAGCCUUUCAUCAGAUCAUUUCAAAGUCUCUUAAGGAACACUGUUGUUGGAAGGCUCUUCUUUAAUGCAAUUGCAACACCAGAAUCUGUGAAAAAUAUUCUUUGUCAGUGCUACCAUGACACAUCCGCGGUUACAGAUGAAUUAGUUCAGAUGAUUCUGCAGCCAGGUCUUGAUCCUGGUGCGGUGGAUGUAUUCCUUGAGUUCAUCUGCUACUCGGGAGGUCCUCUACCUGAAGAGUUACUUCCCAUGGUGAAGUGUCCAGUUUUGGUAGCUUGGGGGGAGAAAGAUCCAUGGGAGCCUGUGGAGCUUGGAAGAGCCUAUGGAUCUUUUGAUGCUGUUGAAGAUUUUGUUGUCUUGCCAAACGUUGGGCACUGCCCGCAGGAUGAAGCACCUCAGCUUGUAAAUCCACUUGUCGAAUCAUUUGUUAAGCUCCAUAGUUAACACAUAGUACUUUCAUUUGAGCACUGGUGGCGAAAACAUACAUUAUAUUGCAAUUCAGGUAUGAGAUAUUAGGAAUUAUCUGAUUUUAUAUUACAGUAAAUGAAGAACCUGUCUCCUCAGAAUGGAAAAGUUCCGAUGCCAGCAGCACAGAUGUUUUAUUCUGGUUUUACUCUUGACGGGAUAAUUGAAGUGAUACAAGUUGCAAACAUUACAUAUCGCAAUGGUAUUUUUUUUUGAAAAGGAAAAGUGGUGAAUGUGGAUCAUGAAUAUCGGGCGAACGCUGUGCCCUGUUGGUAAAAUGCAUUACUGGCCAGCACUUAGCUUCCUCAGCCCUCAGGCGCCCCUCGCAGGAACAGUUCAUCAUGGGAAAUUAACGCCAAGCUGAUGUGACACUGCGCCACGUAGAUGUUUUAGUCCAAGACAUGGCAAAAAAACAUGGGCCGCAGAUUAAUUAUCAUGCAAGGUGUUGGUUUACUA